rnacentral:rRNA from 1 species
UGGGGAAUAUUGGACAAUGGGCGAAAGCCUGAUCCAGCAAUACCGCGUGAGUGAUGAAGGUCUUCGGAUUGUAAAGCUCUUUUAGUAGGGAAGAUAAUGACGGUACCUACAGAAAAAGCACCGGCAAACUUC